rnacentral:tRNA from 1 species
GCCUGGGUGGCUCAGCCGGUUGAGCGUCCGACUUCGGCUCGGGUCAUGAUCUCGCGAUCUGUGAGUUCGAGCCCCGCGUCGGGCU